UACAGAGGGUGCGAGCGUUAAUCGGAGUUACUGGGCGUAAAGGGCGCGUAGGCGGUUUAAUAAGUUAGAUGUGAAAUCCCUGGGCUUAACCUAGGAACUGCAUCUAAGACUGUUGAGCUAGAGUAUUGUAGAGGGUAGUGGAAUUUCCGGUGUAGCGGUGAAAUGCGUAGAGAUCGGAAGGAACACCAGUGGCGAAGGCGGCUACCUGGACAGAUACUGACGCUGAGGCGCGAGAGCGUGGGGAGCAAACAGG
rnacentral:rRNA from 1 species